UGAUUGACAGUUGAGAGGCGGGACCAAAGAGCCAGAGCUCAACCCCCACAAGCACAACUAGGUGAGUACUAACACAAAUAGCAUUUUGCACAGGUCCUUAAUCUAACAGAUAAUUUAAAGGAGGUAAUUUGUAGUAAAAUUUUAAGAAUAUUAACAGGUGCAUUUUGAAGAAAAUUUGAAGAAAAUUCAUAGGUACAUUGUAGUAAAAUUUGAGGAUUAUCAACAGGUACAUGGUAGCAUUAUUUGAGAAUUACCAAUAAGCACAGUGCAGUAAAAUUUGCAUUCAACAUAACUACCAUGAUAUAAAUUGAUAGCAGUGAUUACAAUGGUGAAGUUGCAUGGCUUAAGCACAUAUAUUGGGGGAGUGGAUAGAAGGGACACAAUUAUGGUAGGUAGGAGGGAAGGGUGGAAAUGCUGCUUGGUAAUAUUUGAGAAAUACCUUCGACCUCAGAACAUACAGGAGUGCAAGGAGAAGGGGAGCUGUUGGAGCUGUCUGGGUUUAAAGCUUGGAAACAGUUGUGGACCUGAGGAAGGGAAGAAGGGCGUGGAAGAGUGGUGUGACAACGCACAUGUGUAAGUCAUGUUAGAAAAAAAAGUACAGACAGGGGACCUGGUGCCUUGCCUCACAAAAAUAUAUGCAAUUGUGAUGUUUUAAGUUGAGGAUGGCUUGUUUUAAUUUUGAGUGCAUACAUGUGCAGGAGACGGCAAGGUGGGCAUCACCAGGAUUAAUGCAGUGAGCUUGGAGCAGGAGACGGCAAGGUGGGCAUCACCAGGAUUAACGCAGUGAGCUUGGAGCAGGAGACGGCAAGGUGGGCAUCACCAUGAUUAACGCAGUGAGCUUGGAGCAGGAGACGGCAAGGUGGGCAUCACCAGGAUUAACGCAGUGAGCUUGGA